rnacentral:tRNA from 1 species
UCCCUCAUACCUCAGUUGGUAAAGAGUCUGCCUGCAAUGCAGGAGACCUGGGUUCGAUUCCUGGGUUGGGAA